CCUACGGGUGGCAGCAGUGGGGAAUAUUGCACAAUGGGGGGAACCCUGAUGCAGCGACGCCGCGUGGGUGAAGAAGCGCCUCGGCGCGUAAAGCCCUGUCAGCAGGGGAGAAAAUGACGGUACCUGAAGAAGAAGCCCCGGCUAACUACGUGCCAGCAGCCGCAGUACUACGUAGGGGGCAAGCGUUAUCCGGAGUUACUGGGGGUAAAGGGGGCGCAGACGGCGAUUCAAGCCAGGAGUGAAAGCCCGGGGCCCAACCCCGGGACUGCUCUUGAAACUGCGUGGCUGGAGUGUAGGAGGGGCAGGCGGAAUGCGUGGUGUAGCGGUGAAAUGCGUAGAGAUCAGGAGGAACACCGGUGGCGAAGGCGGCCUGCUGGACUGCAACUGACGCUGAGGCCCGAAAGCGUGGGGAGCAAACAGGAUUAGAUACCCCUGUAGUC
rnacentral:rRNA from 1 species